CAACACUUUCUGCCCCCAUGUCAUAUAGUCUGAGUAACCAUGCUGGCACACUCUCUCUCGGUCUUUGUCUAAAGCGUUGUACUAAAUCCAUUAAUUCAGCUGCCGUGUAUGGGCGAGCUGUUACAUGUAGUGUGCUCUGGGCAGGGGGCCACUGGUCAGGGGGCAGCCCCGCUGGCCUGUCCUGCGUUUUUUUUGUUUUUUGAGUUACAACUGGUCGGAUCUCAAAGGGAUCAAGCUCUAGUGGAGCCUCAAGAUCUGACUUCUUAGUGCUUUCAUUUUCUGAGUCCAGUUCAUGUGGACUCUCUUGUAUAGGAUCCCCAGUUAUUUCUAGAGAGAUGUUUCGGAUUUUUUGUACCGGGAUUAUAGGGUUAGGUUUUUUCCCUCUCAAAAUUGCAACCUGUCUUUCCAGUUCUUCCACACGGUCACGUAAUAGUUGAUUUUCAUCAGUGAGAACCCCUUCAGUUAUAUUUAGCCGGUUCAAGGCCAUCAGCAGCGGCCACGCCACCGUUGAGGCAGCUAACUGUCGUUCUCGUGUAGUACUUUUCCAUUCCUACUCGGAUGUUGAAUAGGAUGUAUUACAACCAAGAUUCCCAAAAGGCUGCUUGAAAACCUUCCAGAAGCAGAUGCUACAUGCAACGAAAAAAAAAUGGAUGUGUUCAUACUUCCAUACAUAUUUUCAAGUUUACAACCAACGUAGAGAUGGCAUUAAUAAAAAUGAGCUCAUUGCUGGACUUCCCAAGUGAGAGAGACAGUAAGUGGUUAUGACCAUUCUGCUUUGGAAUAUGUUUUAGGGAGCUAUGGAAACACCUCCUACGUUUUGUCUUUGGGAUGAAAGACAAGCGUGAAUGAUGAAGCUCCAUCUUAAUACAUUUUAAAACACAGAAAUGUAGGCCAAUAUCGAAUGUAAUGUUAUGAGUACAAUGCAUAAAUACACCAAUGUUGCUGUAUAUCUGUCUCUACUGGAAAUAUCCUGUGAAAUAUAUCAUACUUAGAAUAACAUUUAUAUU
ensembl:lncRNA